GACGAACGCUGGCGGCGUGCUUAACACAUGCAAGUCGAACGAGUGGCGAACGGGUGAGUAAUACGUGUGUAACCUGCCCUCUUUUUGGGAUAAGCCUUGGAAACGGGGUCUAAUACCCAAUAAAGGGGGUUGGGCUCGGGGCCUAUCAGCUGGUGGGUGGGGUGAUGGCCUACCAAGGCGGUGACGGGUAGCCGGCCUGAGAGGGUGACCGGCCACACUGGGACUGAGAUACGGUCCAGACUCCUACGGGAGGCAGCAGUGGGGAAUAUUGCACAAUGGGCGAAAGCCUGAUGCAGCCAUGCCGCGUGUGUGAAGAAGGUCUUCGGAUUGUAAAGCACUUUAAGUUGGGAGGCGUUACCAACAGAAUAAGCACCGGCUAACUUCGUGCCAGCAGCCGCGGUAAUAC
rnacentral:rRNA from 1 species